GGCCUGAUAGUUCAGUGGUAGAAUUCUUGCUUUGGGUUAAAUUGUAAGAGGUCUCCGGUUCAAUCCCGGAUUAGGCCC
rnacentral:tRNA from 1 species